rnacentral:tRNA from 1 species
GGGGAAGUAGCUCAGUAAUAGAGUGACUGCCUAGUGUGCAGGAGACCUUGGGUUCAAUCCCAGUAACACCU